GCCAGGCGGCGUGGGGCUGGGCUGGCGUGUGUCGUGUCGUGUCGUGUCGUGUCGUGUCGUGUCGUGUCGUGUCGUGUCGUGUCGCCCAGGGGCGACAGCCACCCCCCGCGCCGCACUCCCCGUCCCAGGGAUCACCGGUCUGCUGGCACCCAGCCCGCUGGCCGAGGCCAGGCCCAGUUCGGGAGGGCCUGUGACUCUGGCUCGGUUGCUGCCAGGGCUGGGAAGGGGCAAUAAGGGACAGAAGGAAGAGACCUGUCUGCCUGUCCCCAGCAGCGCACAGAGCUCCAGCCCCCGCUACAAGGGACUUUCUGCAGCCAAAUGACUUUGCCUUGUUGGCAUUGUGCGAUCACGGGGAAGGAGAGCAUGCGGCAAAGCCCCUUCCCCUGUGCAACAUAACGAGAUGUUGAUUCGAGGUUUCUGCAGAAGACAAAGAGAAGGUUGUAGCUGUUUUGUUUGGGGGUGGGAGGAGGCUCAGCAUCCAGGAAGCACCUUCCCCUGGGAGCACAGGGAGACCUGGCCACCCACAGCCCUGGCUCGCCAGGAAUCCAGGCUUCCAUAUGUAUGGAUCUGGUGCCAGAAGUGUCGUUCCCAUCGUCAGCAGGCCACCCUCCCCCACACCUUCCCUGCCUGCUCCCUCCUUCUCUUCUCUCCCUUCAUAACCAGCUGACUCUUUUCACAACCAGGAAACAAUCAAACAACCUCUUCAGCGGCUUCGGCUCCUCCUCCUCAGCGUCGCUGCCAUCUCCCCCUGUAAGGAUGCUGUCAGUGCUCCCAAAGCCCCGUGUGCUGUGCUGUGCAGAACUGUUAUUUCAGCCUCCCGGUGGGGAAUAACCCUCUGGGCUGCAAAUACCUGCGUUUCGCUAAGUAAAUAAUCACACAAGAUAAAA